rnacentral:lncRNA from 1 species
UUGGUUCUGAAGUUGCCAAAGUGUGGAUGAUUCAUUUAAUGGAUAGGAUUCAAACCAAAUCUUGGAUCUAGUUAUCUUCUUUUGUAACUCUACCUUCUUUGACUUUUGCAAAUUGGUGUAUUGACCCAAUGCAUUUUAUUAAAUUAGCUUGUAAAAAGAUCACUUCUUGAUCUUCCAUGUAUUGGGUGGACAUCUCUUGUGCUAUGUUUUAAUACAAUUUUCUUAUAGUAAAAAAAAACUGUGAAUCAGUUUUGCAACAAUCCUACAUAAAAUUCACAAAUACACUACAAAUAACAGAUUAAAACAUUUGACCACCCUAUCUUAAACAGACUCAGUUUAUCUAAUACUGUCAUAUUAAGAAUGUCCAUGACCUAUUAAUCUGUUAAGAACUUUUAACAAUCAUCUUUUAAAGCUUUAAUGGUUUUCAGUACAAGCUUUAAACCCCCAAAUUCAGAACUAAACUGGACAAACUAUUCACUGUUAUUUCAAGAUCAUGUGCUGAAAGUGAAAGGACUUCAGUUUACUUCUAAAAAACACAAUUUACAAUUAAAAAAUUCAAUGACAGAAAACAGAAGCUCUAGAUCAUCACAGUUUGGCUCACACACAAUGGCUGGAUUCACACACACAUAUAUAUAUACACACUUAUUGUCAAGUUCUAGCAAUACAAACACAGAACUGUAACAAUUGAUUCAGGAAUGUCAAAGAUUAACCAUUCUGAGGUUCAAAACGGGUACGAAGUGAAGUUAUUAGGAAGUAUAAAAUCAUACACGGAAACCCAUACAGAACCUUAAACCCA